rnacentral:rRNA from 1 species
GACAGAGGAUGCAAGCGUUAUCCGGAAUGAUUGGGCGUAAAGGGUGCGUAGGCGGCGGGGUAAGUCUGAUGUGAAAGGCCGGGGCUCAACCUCGGGACUGCAUUGGAUACUGCCUUGCUCGAGAACUGGAGAGGAGACUGGAAUUUACGGUGUAGCAGUGAAAUGCGUAGAGAUCGUAAGGAAGACCAGUGGCGAAGGCGAGUCUCUGGACAGAUUCUGACGCUGAGGCACGAAGGCCAGGGGAGCAAACGGG